UACGUAGGGCGCGAGCGUUGUCCGGAAUUAUUGGGCGUAAAGAGCUCGUAGGCGGCUGGUUGCGUCUGCUGUGAAAUCCCGGGGCUUAACCCCGGGCGUGCAGUGGAUACGGGCCGGCUGGAGGCAGGCAGGGGAGAAUGGAAUUCCCGGUGUAGCGGUGAAAUGCGCAGAUAUCGGGAGGAACACCGGUGGCGAAGGCGGUUCUCUGGGCCUGUACUGACGCUGAGGAGCGAAAGCGUGGGGAGCAAACAGG
rnacentral:rRNA from 1 species